AGAUCCCAGCAAAAGGAUCCGCGGUGCCUUUGCUUACAUUGGAUUGCUGACAAUGCUGGUAUGUUCCAUCAUCUUUGCUCUGAACCUGCUGAAGUUCACCAAUCUCUGAUCAGUUCAAGAUACAGACUCUUACAUGUAGUUAUAACCGUAAUUCGUUAUAUCCGUCAAAUUUACAUGUAAUGAAGUCCCGGGAAAUGGAAAUUACUUUGUCAAUUCAUAAUAGGCGUGUACGCUUUAACUGUGUUUUACUUUUCUUGAAUUUUAUUUACGGUCAUAAGUAAUCAUUCAUAUUAAUAAUAAUGUCAUAUUUUAUACUACAGUGUAUGUAUUUUUAUGAUACUCAUUUUCCAUUGGUCUGCAGUCAUGAUGAUUGGUUUUACUAGACUAUUAAGUAGAAAAAUUUGUUUUCGUGAUGUGCAUAUGAUAAGAUGUUUAGAAUGUCUAUCUUUAAACCAUAAAGCAAGUUUGUAAACCAACGUACUAAACAAACAUUGUACUUGUGUGUAAAAUUGAGUGUAAUUCAGUAUGAUUUACUGGUUGAAAUUUUAUAGAAAUAAAAUAUGAAAGGUAUUGCAUAUAUU
rnacentral:misc_RNA from 1 species